CCCGUCCACUCAUCCCGCUGCUAUCUCAUCCCCUACCUCUAGCACCGCACCUCAUCCCCUACCAACAACACGAGCACCCAAAUCAGAUCGCAUGAGAAAUCACCUCUGCUCCCCGCCUCCCUUUCUUGCAUCUAGAUCUGGUCGAGACGGGGCUCUGCUCGUCCACUCCACCCUUUGCUGAUGCGAGGAGUAAUCAGGGGCUGAUGCAACCCGGGGAAGCCAUGGCCGUCCAUCUCCUUGUCCUCCCCCUCGAUGAGGUUGGACGUUUUGCAACAGGUGAGGCUGGAGGUGGUGGCCACCGGUGAUGCGAUUUUGCUGCAAUCGGCACCGAAAAAGCUACCACCGGCGCCUGGAUUUGUUGCAUCCAGGAUCCACAAUUUUUGCUAGGAUCCAGGUUUUUUGAGUGAUGUUUUUGCUGCAACCAGUCCAAAAUUUUGCUACCAUCAUUUUGUUUUUUGCUACCACCGUUGGUAUCUUUUGAUUUCUUUUUGCUUAACUAGAUCCAUCUUUUUUGCUGGAAUCACUCAAACUUUUUGUUACCAUGGUCUUCGAUUUUUGCUACAGCCGUCUUGGUUUUUGCUACCAACCCGUUUUUGAUUUCUUUGCUGGAUCCAUCUUAUUUUUGCUGGAACCAAUCCAGGUUUUGCUACAAUGGUGUUUGAUUUUUGCUACCACUAUAUUUCAUUUUUGCUGGAACCGACACUACAAAUUGUUGCGUUGGGGCGGACUAGUGAGCACCGGUGCUACAACCUGCAAGCGGCUCCGAUGAGCGUCCCCGGCAAGCGCGCCGACGAGCAGCUCCGGCGAGCUGCUAGAGAGAGGCCUCAGGGCGGACCAGUGAGAACCGGUGCUACAACUGGCAAGCGGCCCCGGCGAGCACGCCGACGAGCGGGUCCGGCGAGCUGCUAGCGGGAGGCGCCGGGGCGGACCAGUGAGCACCGGUGCUGCAACGAGCAAGCGGCUCCGACGAGCGCGACGACGAGCGGCUCCGACGAGGGGCUCCGGCGAGCUGCUAGCAGGAGGCGGUGAGAUGUCAUGGAGUUGUACGUGAGCGAGGAGGGGAUUUUUUUUUCUUUUUUUCUACUCUAGAUCUGACGGUUACAUGUGCCUAUAUCCAACGGCUAGGGCUGGA
rnacentral:rRNA from 1 species